rnacentral:rRNA from 1 species
GACGAACGCUGGCGGCGUGCUUAACACAUGCAAGUCGAGCGGAGCGGCGAACGGGUGAGUAACGCGUGAGUAACUGCCCCCCUCUCUGGGGUAACAGAUGGAAACGGCUGCUAAUACCGGAUAGUGGGGGAUGAAUCGCGUCAUAUGAGCUUGUUGGUGGGGUAGUGGCCUACCAAGGGGACGGCGGGUACCCGGCCUGGGAGGGCGACCGGCCACAAUGGGCUGAGGUACGGCCCAGACUCCAACGUGGGGCAGCAGUGGGAAGUAUUGUGCAGUCGGGGAAACCCUAAUGCAGCAACGCCGCGGGCGGAAUGAAGGCCUUCGGGUUGUAAACCGCUUUAAGCCAUGACGCGGUAGUCGCAGAAGAAGCACCGGCUAACUACGUGCCAGCAGCCGCGGUAAUUC